AGCGAACGCUGACGGCAUGCCUAACACAUGCAAGUCGAACGAGACCUUCGGGUCUAGUGUCGCACGGGUGCGUAACGCGUUGGAACCUGCCCUUAGGUUCGGACUAACUCCCCGAAAGGGGUGCUAAUACCGGGUAUUGUCUUCGGACCAAAGAUUUAUCGCCUUUGGAUGGGCCCGCGUUGGAUUAGCUAGUUGGUAGGGUAAAAGCCUACCACGGCGACGAUCCAUAGCUGGUCUGAGAGGAUGAUCAGCCACACUGGGACUGAGACACGGCCCAGACUCCUACGGGAGGCAGCAGUGGGGAAUAUUGGACAACGGGCGAAAGGCUGAUCCAGCAAUGCCGCGUGAGUGAUGAAGGCCUGAGGGUUGUAAAGCGCUUUUACACGGGAUGAUAAUGACAGUACCGGGAGAAUAAGCACCGGCUAACUCCGUG
rnacentral:rRNA from 1 species